rnacentral:rRNA from 1 species
CUCCUUUGACGUUAGCGGCGGACGGGUGAGUAACACGUGGGUAACCUACCUAUAAGACUGGGAUAACUUCGGGAAACCGGAGCUAAUACCGGAUAAUAUUUCGAACCGCAUGGUUCGAUAGUGAAAGGUGGUUUUGCUAUCACUUAUAGAUGGACCCGCGCCGUAUUAGCUAGUUGGUAAGGUAACGGCUUACCAAGGCGACGAUACGUAGCCGACCUGAGAGGGUGAUCGGCCACACUGGAACUGAGACACGGUCCAGACUCCUACGGGAGGCAGCAGUC